GACUCUAAUACGGGUUAUGUUUCAGAUUACACAGAACAAUGCAGUUUAUUAGUCAUGCGAUUUUCGUUGCUUUUUAUUUUGGAAAUGCGGUAGAUGCGUUUGGAUACAUACCAAAGGAUGCAGUCCCUCUUCACGUGAUCUCUCGGAUGCCUCAUAAUUAUCUCCACAGAAGUUCUCUACCAAACGAAUUCGACUGGAAAUCUCUCAAUGGCACUGUUUACGUUACGAGGGUAGGAAAUCAACUGCAGCCCAAACCAUGUGGAUCGUGUUGGUGAUCAUGUUGCUGCAUACAAGUUUAUUUAUGAAAAUGGUAUAACCGAUGAAACAUGUGUACCUUAUGAGUCUGUGGAUCAGACUAAUUGGGCUGAAAUUCCAUGCACGGACAGAAUGUGUCGUACAUGUGACACGGUAAUUGCUACUUCAUAAAAGGAAUAAAAUAUGAAAUAUCAGAAUAUAGUCAGGCAUUAUGAAUUGGUACAGUAGCAGCACUUGUUAAGUACGUUGUGUUGAGACAGGUACGGUGACUGGUGAGGAUCAGAUGAUGGCAGAAAUAUAUGCUCGAGGGUAACUCUCUUAUGACAGUAGGAUAGAACACACACACACACACACACACACAC